UACAGAGGAGCCAAGCGUUGUCCGGAUUGACUGGGCGCAAAGCGCACGCAGGCGGCUGCGCGCGUGGGGUGUGAAAUCUGGCCGCUUAACGGCCAGGCGCCAUCCCAUACGGCGCGGCUUGAGCCUUGCAGAGGGCGGUGGAAUUGCCGGUGUAGUGGUGAAAUGCGUAGAGAUCGGCAGGAACACCCAGGGGGAAACCAGCCGCCUGGGCAAGCGCUGACGCUGAGGUGCGAGAGCGUGGGGAGCGAACCGG
rnacentral:rRNA from 1 species